UACAGAGGGGGGCAAGCGUUUGUUCGGAAUUACUGGGCGUAAAGGGCGCGUAGGCGGCCGCCUAAGUCAGACGUGAAAUCCCCAGGCUUAACCUGGGAACUGCGUCGGAUACUGGAUGGCUUGAAUUCGGGAGAGGGAUGCAGAAUUCCAGGUGUAGCGGUGAAAUGCGUAGAUAUCUGGAGGAAUACCGGUGGCGAAGGCGGCAUCCUGGACCGACAUUGACGCUGAUGAGCGAAAGCUAGGGGAGCAAAC
rnacentral:rRNA from 1 species